AACGAACGCUGGCGGCACGCCUAACACAUGCCAGUCGAACGAGACCUUCGGGUCUAGUGGCGCACGGGUGCGUAACGCGUGGGAACCUGCCCUUAGGUUCGGAAUAACUCCCCGAAAGGGGUGCUAAUACCGGAUAAUGUCUUCGGACCAAAGAUUUAUCGCCUUUGGAUGGGCCCGCGUUGGAUUAGCUAGUUGGUAGGGUAAAAGCCUACCAAGGCGACGAUCCAUAGCUGGUCUGAGAGGAUGAUCAGCCACACUGGGACUGAGACACGGCCCAGACUCCUACGGGAGGCAGCAGUGGGGAAUAUUGGACAAUGGGCGAAAGCCUGAUCCAGCAAUGCCGCGUGAGUGAUGAAGGCCUUAGGGUUGUAAAGCUCUUUUACCCGGGAUGAUAAUGACAGUACCGGGAGAAUAAGCUCCGGCUAACUCCGUG
rnacentral:rRNA from 1 species